UGGAGGUGUGUGGGCAUAGAGGAAAACCUCUCCUGAGGCUGACUUCUUGUCGCACACCCAGGGCUGACCCCGGGCUCGGCACUGUUUUUUUUUCUUUUCUCCUUUCCUUAUUUUUUUUUUUCCUGUGGUUGGCUAGAUGGAAUUUGACCGCAAAUAAAACUGUUGUGUUUUUUUUUAAUUUGGCUGAAUAAACGUUCAUUUAUAACAAACUUGGUGACCCCUUACGUGAUCUGGUUUGGGGGUAUCCUGGGAGUUCCCUCUCCUAGAUCCGGGCGGCGCCCUGCUGAUUUUAGCAGCCGGAUAGGACUGCAGAACCCCACGGAACCAACCAGAUUCCAAAAGCAGCAAAAAAGCCACAUUAAGGAAAGGAUAUAAACGGGCCCAGAGCUCUCGGAAUUCGGAGCUAAAUCUCCGAGGCUGCAGCAAAUUUUCACUCGUAAAAUCAACGUGCACGAAGAAUCCACGCGGGAAAAGGAGCCAUACCGCGAUACGAACUGCAGAAAAGGGGUGGACACACGCGUCAAGGGUAAAAAAAGUCGAUCCCCAAUCACCAGAGUGGAAAAUCACCUCCCCCCCC